CUCAAAUAGACAAAUUUCCUUGUGGAUUUUGCCCUUAACUCAGUUUUCAGAUUACUGAUCCUGGAAAUGCUGCACUUUUUAAUGUCUCAUAUGCUGCUAUCUUCAAAGCUGCCUCUAUGCAGAAGUAUUUUCUCUUAGGAACCUACCACAGAUCAGCCUCACCUUUGCAGACAUCAAGCAAAUGCAAAACUAACACCAAAGGUUACAUUUGGCAGUGACACUGGUAGGCCAGGGAAGUGAUACCUGAUGCAACAGCAAGAGACUGAACUCCCUUCAUUGCCGUCCUGUGUGGGGGGCUUUUUUCCAUACUGCAGGAGUAUCUCCAAAGGUUCUGCUUAGUGUGGUUUCUGUGACCCCUCUUUGCAAGAAGCUUUAAAUCUGCUGUCACCUGUCACAGAAAACACAGAAAUCAAACAGCUAAGGAGGACUAACAUUAAAAUGUC